GGAAAGGGAGGGAACCGGGAGGGCGCCCCAGCGGGACAUCCAGGCGGGGGCCGAGUAGGUGUUUUCUCCCCCGCCCCCGGGCACGCAGCGAGAGCUGAGGCUGCCGGAAAGCUCGGCCGGCACAGGGCGCGGAGGAUCGAUGACUCGGCCGGUGGGCACGGCUACCUGGUAUUCAUUGAUAUUGCCUGGAAAGAAAAUGAAGACCAAAGACAUGGCUACACUCUUAAUGUUUUAAAAUAAGGUGCUUUUGAAGUAAAGACCUGAUGGAAGUGACAAGCCAGCCUUGAGGAUGUCUGAGGGACAGCUUUCAAGACAAGGGGUCCUGAGAUGAGAGGGUGCCUGGUGUGUCUGAGGAGCAGCCUGGAGGUCAGCUGGGGGCUCAGCUCUGUGCAGCUUCACUCUGGGACCCAGGCUGCCCGGAGAAUCCCCAUCUGGAGCAUGGCCAGUCUCUGUGGGAGAGGGAGAAGAUAGAGUGGUGAACUGCGCACUGGCUUAUGCCCGAAAGGGACACACGACCCUUCUCCUCACGUGGCACUGGACAAAGUCAGUCAGGUGGCUGCACCCAACUUCAAAAGGUAACAUACCUGUUUUGGCUAUAACAACCUGUGCUGGACCACCUUCCUACACAGAUACGCCUCUCACCCCAUCUGGGCUCUGAAAUAUCCUCUUCACCCUGCCUCGACGCCAACAUCUCGCACUAGGCUAUGCCUUUGCAAGAACACUCCCCUCACCCCACGUGGGCUCUGAAACCUCCUGCCGGGCUGCCCCUCCCACCCUCAAUCCUCAGCCCACCUGGGCCACCCUGCGCUGAGCCAUCCUCUCAGCCUGCUUUGGCUCUGACACUGAGCUAAGCUGACCCUCUGCAGCGGUGGCUCUCUUGAGCUGCCUGGGCACUGGCACCAGCUAUCCCACUCGUGGGAUGCCCUCCUCACUCCACUUUUGCAGUGUUCUAAUUCUUUAAAGAUUUCUAUUAUCUAUGUAUAUAGUAUCAGUUUUUCCUCAAACUAGAGGUCUGUGUAUGUAUUAUUGAUGAUCCAUCAGUAAUAAUGUGUUUUCAUUUCAAUGAUGAUCGAAAAAAAACUUACAUUAUAAAAUAUAAGCAUAUCUGGGAUGUUCGUUUUAUAACCACAUACUUUUAGUGUUGGUGCUUUGUGUUUAAAAUUGGGUUGGUACCGUGUGAUUAGUAAUGUGUCAAUAUUUAACUUUUAAACUGGUGGUAGUUUUAGAUUGGCAUUCCUGGCAUCAAAAUACAAAAACCAUCUUGAUUUCUGUUCAGUAAAAAUUAUAUUGCGUUUUCUUACCAACUAUAAAUCUAAAACUGCUCACUGAUGAGAUUUAUGUCUUUAUUUAAUAAAUUAAUUUUGACUUUCCAUCAUAAAAAUAACCAUGCUACUUUAAUUGUCACAGGCUGAUGAAAAAAGAACUGAGCUGGCUGACUUGAUACACAAAUGAUGUACUCAUGCAAAGUGAAGGCCAAAUGAAUCAUGGCACUGGUAUAAGUGAAGUUUUACAAUAGUUCAAAUAGAGGAAAGUAGAGAGAAAACUGAGUCAUUACAGGUCUCUUGGUAUCAUAUAUUGAACUCAAAAGAAGCUAGGCAAAACAGCCACUUUUUUCAGAUUAUUGACAGAUGUGUUUGUGUGUGUGUGUUUAUAUGGCAUAUCAGCUUGCAAAUAUUCUCCAUGAAGGACUUUUGUUAGGAGCUUUUUAAAAAAAUAAUUAUCAAUAUUAUAUUUUGGAGAAAACCAUUUUUAGAUGAGUUGGACCAAUUAAAAUAAUCAACUGAUGGUUUCAAAUGAGUAACCUGAUGGAAGGAAAAAUUAUGGUAAUGAUAAUGAUUGCGAAUCAAAGGACUGUCCAUCAUGCUCAUAAUCAAAUAUUUAGGUCAACAAUUGAGACAUAAAAUGCAUAAAAGCAUCUUAUUAUGCUUUUAUAAUUACAUGUAUACAUUGUAAUUAAAUCCAACAUUGGCUACUUAGUUUCAGCAAAACUUUACCACUUUUACACUAAAUUAAUGUUUCUUAUUUGAAUUUAUCUGGUGAUCUUGUUUUUAUCUAGCUUGUUAAAUUUGAUUUCUUCUUAUGGUUUGUUUUAAUUGUGGUAAAGAAAACACAUAACCUAAAACUUACUGUCUUAACCAUUUUUAAGUGUACAGCUUGGUAGUAUUGAGUAUAUUCACACUGUGUGCAACAGACGUCUAGAACUUUUUCAUUUUGUGUACUUAUAGUUUUUAAUGAGCUAUAAGUAUAAAGCAUUUAUACCUAAUUAUACAUUGGCACGUAUUUAAGGAACAAGAUGAUGAAAAUUAUUUAAGUCAACAUAAAAGGUGGUCUCAAGAGAACUUUUUCCUUUUGGGAAAAAAGGAAGAGGUUUAAGAAACACUAAUCAAUAUGGUAAUUAACUUCCAAUCUAAAUGUUUGCUUAGGCCCACCCCCACUUUUCUCCCUGGCUGGACGGUUCACAGUGGACUGGGAGGAAAAGGCAGUGAUACCUCAUUUCUUGGAAAAGCAGAGCCAGGGGAGAGCAUAGCAGUUUUCCCAACCUGAAUUCAAAACUUGCUUUUAAGUAAUAGGUAUAAUAUGAACACAAUACUGCCUUUCAAAUUACUUUUCAAAAUAGUUUCAAAUCCAUUUUCCUAAUUUUGAGGCCCCGUUGUGAAUCUCUAAAGUUAGUUUCCUUUAAAGUCAAACCUCAUUGCCAAGUUUGAUGUGUUAUAACUCUAAUCGUCCAAGCCAGUGCUGCUGGAGUUUUGCUCCUUAGCAAGAUGCUAGAGGAAGAAGGCUGUCUCCAGAUGCUGUGAUUGUUCUGAGUCUGCUAUGGCCUCUUGCAGGCCUUAUUAAGAAAACAAACUGUGCUGAUUAGUUUCUCUGAAAAACUAGACGGAAGUUUUCAGCUUAAAAGCUCAUAUGCUGACCUCUCCUAAGGCUUCAUUUUUAAAAUGAAAGUUUGUUGUUAGGAUUUGCUAUUUGACUUUUUAGAAAUAAGAAAAUAUCCAAAGUUCCCAUAAGUAAUCAUUAAUUAUGAGGUGGAAAGCAAGAAGGAAAGGGCAAGAAAGGAAGGAAAAUUUAUCAUUUACUCUGUGCCAGGCACUAUUCUAGAAGCUUUAUAUCACCCGUCUUACCUUGUCCCGACAACCUCCCUAGGAGUUGGUUCUGUUGUCCCCAUUUCAAUGGCUGAGACUCUGAGAGGUAAAGUAACUUGCCAAAGAUCACGGAGCUUGUAAGCGAACAGGUUUGAUUCAAACUCAGGGUUGUCUGAUUACCACUCACUCAAGUACGAAACACGUCAAGACACAUCACAGAUCAGCUUGGUCAGUUUUCUGCCACAGAUUUUGUCUGGGGAAACUGGACCAUGCCGAUACUCAUUCAUGGAGAAAGUCUCUCUGCCCAUUCCAGCACAUUAUCAUUCUCUGCUCUCUCGCUCAGUUACUUGUAUAUUUAGCUGACAGACUCAACUUCGAACACUCCCCAGACCCUACCCAACAGAGUGCAGAAAUCCCUUUGCUCUCUCGCAGCUGAUCCCAGUACCGGCUAGGUUUCUGCUCCCCCAGAUGUGGAGGCUGCAGUGUAAAAAGCACUUCCUCAUCUUGCAACUACAGUAUUGUCUGGCGCUUCUUGAGGCACAGGUCUAAGCUGCUGUCUAGAGAGGCCUGAUGUAUGCCCUGUGGGCUGCACUGUCAUUUACUGGUUUAAUAUGCACACUCUGUGAUGCAUUUUUAUACUUUCCCAUUUCUUAAAUUCUGUCUCCUAACUCAGAUCUCAUUUACAUGGUGAUUUAUAGGGCCUGAAUAUUAUAAUCUAAAAGGUGUAUGUGGAGAGGAGGAGUGAGCACAUCUUCUAUUUAUUAGGAAAAGUCUCCAAUCAUCUGCUUCUUUGAAAAUCUGACCUUGAAACUGCAUAAUGAGAGCUCAGUCCCCAGUCAUAGUGAGGAGCAGGGAAAAGGGACCAGCUGGUCUGUUUGCUUAGCGUCUACUGUACGCUGCCUUGGGUAAUCUCUUUUCACAUGACGGCCUCUCUCCCCAGUUAGAUUUUAAAUAAUUGGAGGGCAAGAGCAUGUAUCACUGACCUCUGUGCCAAGCAUAAGCCCCUUGCACAUAGUAGGCAUUUAGUAAAUAACUGGAUGUUGGUUGCUGAUCUGUGACUGACUGCUGCUUAAACCUCCCCAUUCCCCACCAUACCCCUGACCUUUCUGGUUUAGCUUUUACGUGACAGUUUCAUUAGAAAUGGUAGCAGGAUGGAACCAGAACUUUCAUGCACACACUGGGAUAUCAGAGACUUCUGCUUCACGUGUCUUUUCAAAGAAUAAGUAUAGGCUAGUAUCCAAAGACCUAGUUUAGAAUCUUGAAUUUUAAAAACUUGACUGUGGGAAAGCCCUGCCCACUCACUUUGGAAUGCCCCCGCCCCCUCUUAAGCAUACUACACAGCAUGGUUUAGUGCCUGGACUUGGUGAUACCCCUUUGCCUAGGAGGGCUAGUGCAUGAAACCCUUUCCACGCUGACACCACAGCUUAAAUUCAUUCUUCAGGCAGCCAUUAUUUUUUCUUAUUAGGGUCAAAGAUAAGGUGAUGUGUGGAGGGGCAGCCGGGGCAUCGUCUGGGGGGACAAGACUCUACCAGAGGAGCAGGAGCUGAUGCUGGGCAUCUCAUUGGAGGCAAGAAGGAGCCCAUACAGAAGCAGGGGAUGGGGUUUAGGUGCUGUGGAGCAUUAGCUGCUGCCCCGACUGCACAAUUCUCCUCAGGCUGGCUGUUUUGCCCAAACCUAGUCUAGAACUGUCCAUGUUCUAGGAGCCUCUUAUGAAUGAGCAUCUUGCUUUGAAAAUCAAUUUGAAGCCAGAGUGGAAGUUUUCUUUUAGUCACAAAGUGAGAGCAAUGAAAAUAGGACUAUCCUGCUGUAUUAUUUUUGGCCUUGUAACAGUGCAAAGUCAACUUUUCUUUCUGACUCAGGAGCGUUUUAUAAAAUCUCCACGUUUUGUGUGCAUUUCAGACCCGAGAAUCUGCCACCCCAGACCCCAUUGUGAGGGACGAUUUAAAGUUCAGGGAAACAGCAGCUCUCUGCAAGUUUCUGAGUAACUGAACUUUGUUAUAACAACAGAUUGGAAGAUAGAAUCUGUUAAUCUCUAAACUCAGGGAACCCUUGACCCCUAUCCCGGGUAACACAGGAUGCUGAAAAUUGGUCGGGUCCCUAACUCACCUUCUCACAUUUCUCCUCUCCCUGGAAGAACGCAGCUUUUGACCACCGUGCCAGCUUGAGAGCAGGGCCUCCCUGUCACGCCUCCGUGACUGCGUGACCAGGUGGAUUUCUGUGCCGGGCGUCGCCUGGAAGGUGGCAAAAGCCAGACAGGUACCUGUGGCCCAGCUGCUGCUCAGCUACGAGGCUGGCAGCCAAGCCGGGCGGCAGCUUCUCGAAAGCAGCCCUUUUGAUGACACCGAUUACAUUUCCCUCACUAGAGCCUUGGACUGAUUGAGCAACAGCCAGCUUCUCUGGGUAACAAAGAGGAGGGGAAAGUAAUCCAAACACAGGUUUUAUUAUAAAAACCUGGGAGUGAGAGAAGUAUAUUUAUUCUGUAAGAUAACACACCUGCUCAGUGCCCAGGAGGCUCAUUUCCAUCAGUUGCCAUGGCAAACUCGUUAUACUUCAAGGCCAUGUGGCUUUGUUUCCUUUUGAGAUCUGGUCCUUGUCCUACCUUUCCUAACAACUGCAACACAAUGACAUGGAGGCCUGCGGCAGCAUAAUUGAUUUCUCCUUCCCUCUAUCAACGGUUCACAUUUGUUCGGCACAGGACUGAGCCUGCCUCUUCCUUUGAACUCCUGGCUAACCAUGAAGGCAUGCUUCAGAGAGCCGUCCUCAUUAACAUUCCAGGUCUCCCUUCCCCGUCAGCGAUAAACAAGCCCCGCAUCAACGGCCUCCUUCCUUCCAGCUUUACAAAUGAGUGGCUCAGCUCCAUGUUUCGCUGCCGAUCCAGGUGCCCAGGCGCACAAUGCGGGGCUAAGAAGCACGCUGGAGAGACUAAAAAUAGAACAGCAGUUUUGGACGCAUACCAGAGCAGCUACUUCAUCUCAACUUGCUUUGCACACUAAGCCUAAUGGGAUCCAUCAGGCAUGAGUUCUCUCCCUCUCGCCCUCCCUCUCCCUCUCCCUCCCCGCCGCCGCCCCCCCACCCCCCCCAUCUACCGUCAGCACCUUCCUGGUGAAGGCAGCAAAGGAGGUCAGGCCAGGGACAAGAAGCGUGUGCCCUCCUGGUCUUAGUUUACGAGUCCUGGGAGAUCUGGGGGCUGCAAUUACUCUUUCCGUACAAGCGUUUCUAGAAAAGAGCAGGCAGGUCCAGAACAUGGUCACCUUUGCCCAGGUACACUUCGCUCCUCCAAGACUUUCAUUGUUCAGCAAAGGCUCAACUAUCACUUCCUACACACCCCAGUAAGCAUGACCUAGCCCCAGACUCAGAAGCUUCUUGGGCAGUUAAAUAGAGAACUACACUACAGUGUUCCUCUUACAGGUCCCACCUGCUUGGCUUGAGGCUAAAGAUUUGGGAGCAAAUGCACCAUCACAGAUGGAGGGGCUGUAGCUCACGUGGGUGGGUGGGCAGCACGUGACUGCCCAGGGUCUGUGAAAGCCUCCCACCAGUGAUUCUAUCUGAAAGCCUUUUGCAAUAGAAAAUGGAACAAAUCAGUAUUAAGUUAGGAACAUGCUGUCCUGCCUGGGCACCAGGCCUCCCCAGUGCCAGCUGUAUUGAAUGAGCGAGGCUCCUCUGUGUUGUUGAUGUGUCUCCCUUCUUGCAGCCUCCCUCCACCCAAAGGAGAGUUAGCCAGACCCACACAUUUCUCAUGAAGGGUAAUGCAGGGGUUCCAAACAGCUAAGUAUUACUCCAACGAGUACCACUCGUGUAGAAUUAGGAGCGGGAGGGAGAAAAAACAGAAAAGGAGAGGGAAAGAUGACUAUUACAGUAUUGAAAAAUAAAAGCCUUUUCAUGGUUGUUGUUUUGGAGAUUGGCCAGAUACAACGAAAAGAAAUCGAUCUACUGGCGGGUUUUGUCUGUAAGCUUCUGGAAGGUGUCAAGAUCUUUUCAAUUGUGCCUUGGUUUCAUAGAAUAGCAGGAUAAAAUAAACAUGCCAAACUACUUCAAGAAAAGUCACCCUCCGUACAGCAAUAAUUAACCCCCCAAAGAAUCUCCCACAGAACAAGUUGCAACAUGAUCGUUUAAUCCUCCAGCCACCAGAGGACAGAGGUGCAUCUUCCCUCAGCCUUCUCCUAUGUUCAUGAGGCCCAGUAUACCUCCAGGAGACACUGGGUCAUUUGUUGAAUAAAUCUACCAUCAAAACCCAGAAAGUUUUCUAGGUUCACCGAAUAAAUGUCUGUAGACUGGAAGCCAGGGUGUUCUAGCCCAAGGGUGAGCUUAGCAGAGCCACGGGUGCUCUGCACCUCACUUUUCUCAUGCCUGAAACAAAACUGCAGAGGUGCAUGAUUUCUAGGGUCCUUUCCAGACUGAAGAUUCCCUGGCAGAAAUAAAUGAUAUGGGAAUUAAAUUUUCAUUGGUGAUUUCAUUCAUCCUUUCUCGUUUUGGUGGUGGUUUAUUUGGUUCAUGGGCCCUUAUAGAACGAUAUACCUUGAAAAAUAUUGCAUAAUUCUUCAGGGGGAGAGGCAUUUCUUCUUUGUGACAUUUUCCCAUACUCUAACUUUCCU